UGGUGCCCAACAGUGAGACUCAAGUACAAAGGGACCAGUGAAGAUCACUGCAGUGUUUUUGGUUGGCUGACAAAUUUUGUGUGGAAGAAGGCUUAUGCGGAACCUGCCUCCUCGACUAAGGAUCCUGGUAAGUUUGUGAUGAUCAUGGAAAAGGCACCGAGGAGCCAUGAAUUACUUGUGGAAUGGUUGAAAAAGGCUUUAAAGGCACGAGGGAUAAAGGAUAAAAUAUAUGAUUUGCUUGCAUUUUUUGAUUUUGUAAAAGAGAUUUGUCCAU
rfam:Mus musculus chromosome 4, GRC primary reference assembly.